UACGAAGGGGGCUAGCGUUGCUCGGAAUCACUGGGCGUAAAGGGUGCGUAGGCGGGUUUUUAAGUCAGGGGUGAAAUCCUGGAGCUCAACUCCAGAACUGCCUUUGAUACUGAAGAUCUUGAGUCCGGGAGAGGUGAGUGGAACUGCGAGUGUAGAGGUGAAAUUCGUGGAUAUUCGCAAGAACACCAGUGGCGAAGGCGGCUCACUGGCCCGGUACUGACGCUGAGGCACGAAAAGCGUGGGGAGCAAACAGGG
rnacentral:rRNA from 1 species